rnacentral:rRNA from 1 species
AGGACCUACGGGGGGCAGCAGUGGGGGAUAUUGCACAAUGGGGGGAACCCUGAUGCAGCGACGCCGCGUGGGUGAAGGAGCGUUUCGGCGCGUAAAGCCCUAUCGGCAGGGAAGAAGGAGGACGGUACCUGACUAAGAAGCCCCGGCUAACUACGUGCCAGCAGCCGCGGUAAUACGUAGGGGGCAAGCGUUAUCCGGAUUUACUGGGCGUAAAGGGAGCGUAGGCGGCCUGCCAAGUCUGAUGUGAAAUACCGGGGCUCAACCCCGGGGCUGCAUUGGAAACUGGCAGGCUGGAGUGCCGGAGG